rnacentral:rRNA from 1 species
GGAUGAACGCUGGCGGCGUGCCUACUACCUGCAAGUCGAGCGAACGGACGAGAAGCUUGCUUCUCUGAUGUUAGCGGCGGACGGGUGAGUAACACGUGGAUAACCUACCUAUAAGACUGGGAUAACUUCGGGAAACCGGAGCUAAUACCGGAUGAUAUUUUGAACCGCAUGGUUCAAAAGUGAAAGACGGUCUUGCUGUCACUUAUAGAUGGAUCCGCGCUGCAUUAGCUAGUUGGUAAGGUAACGGCUUACCAAGGCAACGAUGCAUAGCCGACCUGAGAGGGUGAUCGGCCACACUGGAACUGAGACACGGUCCAGACUCCUACGGGAGGCAGCAGUAGGGAAUCUUCCGCAAUGGGCGAAAGCCUGACGGAGCAACGCCGCGUGAGUGAUGAAGGUCUUCGGAUCGUAAAACUCUGUUAUUAGGGAAGAACAUAUGUGUAAGUAACUGUGCACAUCGUGACGGUACCUAAUCAGAAAGCCACGGCUAACUACGUG